rnacentral:tRNA from 1 species
GAGGGUGUAGCUCAGUGGUAGAGCAUGUGCUUAGCAUGCACGAGGUCCUGGGUUCAAUCCCUAGUACCUCUG